UUUUCAUGAAUGUUUGACAGAGGUAGCACCGUUUGGCUUCAUCCAAUCAAAAGCAGAAGAGUUUGGUGAAAAAAAGCGAUUUUUGGAUCAAAGAUAUCAAUUUGAAAGCAAGGAACGUUAAAGAAAUCAUAGUCCUCAUACCAGGACUGAGUUCUAUGGGAAGAGGAGGGGUUUUGUAGGGCGUUCUGGUGCGACCUCU
rnacentral:lncRNA from 1 species